rnacentral:rRNA from 1 species
GACGAACGCUGGCGGCGCGCUUAACACAUGCAAGUCGAGCGAAGCGGCGGUCGGGUGAGUAACACGUGAGUAACCUGCCUUAGAAAUUGGGAUAGCCUCGGGAAACCGGGAUUAAUACCAAAUGGCCUAAGAUGGACUCGCGUCCCAUUAGCUAGUGGGUGAGUUAACGGCCCACCAAGGCGACGAUGUGUAGCCGGCCUGAGAGGGUGAACGGCCAGAUUGGACAUGAGAAACGGGCCAAACUCUACGGGAGGCAGCAGUGGGGGAUAUUGCACAAUGGGCGAAAGCCUUAUGCAGCGACGCCGCGUGGGGGAUGAAGGCUUUCGGGUUGUAAACCUCUUUCGCUAGCGAACGGGUAGGUGGAGAAGAAGCGCCGGCUAACUACGUGCCAGCAGCCGCGGUAAUUC